rnacentral:rRNA from 1 species
GAUGAACGCUGGCGGCGUGCCUAACACAUGCAAGUCGAGCGGAGUUAGAAGAAGAAGCUUGCUUCAUUUUCUAACUUAGCGGCGGACGGGUGAGUAACACGUGAGUAACCUGCCCUCGAGUGGGGAAUAACACCGAGAAAUCGGUGCUAAUACCGCAUAAUGUCAUGAGACCGCAUGAUCUUAUGACCAAAGGAUUUAUUCGCUUAAGGAUGGACUCACGUCCGAUUAGUUAGUUGGUGAGGUAACGGCCCACCAAGACAUCGAUCGGUAGCCGAACUGAGAGGUUGAUCGGCCACAUUGGGACUGAGACACGGCCCAGACUCCUACGGGAGGCAGCAGUGGGGAAUAUUGGGCAAUGGGCGAAAGCCUGACCCAGCAACGCCGCGUGAAGGAUGAAGGUCUUCGGAUUGUAAACUUCUUUGAUCAGGGACGAAACAAAUGAC